UGGGGAAUAUUGCGCAAUGGGCGAAAGCCUGACGCAGCAACGCCGUGUGAGGGAUGAAGGCUUUCGGGUCGUAAACCUCUGUCAGAAGGGAAGAACGGGUGUUGGUCUAAUAGGCCUUCAUUUUGACGGUACCUUCAGAGGAAGCACCGGCUAACUCCGUGCCAGCAGCCGCGGUAAUACGGAGGGUGCAAGCGUUAUUCGGAAUUACUGGGCGUAAAGCGCACGUAGGCCGCUUUGUAAGUCAGGGGUGAAAUCCCACGGCUCAACCGUGGAACUGCCCUUGAAACUGCGAAGCUUGAAUCCUGGAGAGGGUGGCGGAAUUCCUGGUGUAGGAGUGAAAUCCGUAGAUAUCAGGAGGAACACCGGUAAGGCGGCCACCUGGACAGGCAUUGACGCUGAGGUGCGAAAGUGUGGGGAGCAAACA
rnacentral:rRNA from 1 species